rnacentral:rRNA from 1 species
GGCGAAGGUGAGUAACGCGUUGGUGACCUGCCCCGAAGAGGGGGAUAACAGCUUGAAAGGGCUGCUAAUACCCCAUGUGAUCUAACAGGUUAGAGGCUGAUAGAUAAAAGACUUCGGUCGCUUCGGGAGGGGCCUGCGUCCCAUCAGCUAGUUGGUAGGGUAAAAGCCUACCAAGGCAAAGACGGGUAGGGGACCUGAGAGGGUGACCCCCCACAAUGGAACUGAAACACGGUCCAUACACCUACGGGUGGCAGCAGUAGGGAAUCUUGCACAAUGGGCGAAAGCCUGAUGCAGCAACGCCGCGUGCGCGAUGAAGGCCUUCGGGUUGUAAAGCGCUUUUCGGGGAGAUGAGAAAGGACAGUAUCCCCGGAAUAAGGUUCGGCUAACUACGUGCCAGCAGCCGCGGUAAAACGUAGGAAUCGAGCGUUAUCCGAAUUUACUGGGCGUAAAGCGCGUGUAGGCGGUUUGGUAAGUUGGAUGUGAAAGCUCCCGGCUCAACUGGGAGAGGACGUUCAAUACUGUCAGACUAGAGGACGGCAGAGGGAGGUGGAAUUCCCGGUGUAGUGGUGAAAUGCGUAGAUAUCGGGAGGAACACCAGUGGCGAAGGCGGCCUCCUGGGCCGUGCCUGACGCUGAGACGCGAAAAGCUAGGGUAGCAAACGGGAUUAGAAACCCCGGUAGUCCUAGCUGUAAACGAUGUAGACUUGGUGUUGGUGGUGUAAA